GGCGCAUCCCGGCGUUGGCGGCAGCCCCCGCCCCGCCAGCCCGCCCAGCCUGCGGGACGGCAGCGCCGCCGGAGCGUUGCCCUUUUAAGCUGUGGCCCCACUCGCCUCCUCCCCGGCUCCCGGAGGGGCUCCGGCAGCCGGCACCGACCGAGCGACACCGAGCGACCUCCGCGCCCGCCUCGCUCCCCGCGGCCGCCGAGCGGAGCGGAGCCCCAGGGCGGCGGCCACCGGGCUGCCCCUGCCCUGCCCCCGCUGCUCGGGGACCAUGGGAUGCUGCACCGGCCGCUGCACCCUCAUCUUCCUCUGCACUUUGCAGCUGCUCGCUGCACUAGAGAGGCAAGUGUUCGACUUCCUGGGAUACCAGUGGGCCCCGAUCCUCGCCAACUUCCUGCACAUCAUCAUCGUCAUCCUGGGGCUCUUCGGCACCAUCCAGUACAGACCUCGCUACAUCGUGGUGUAUGCCAUCUGGACUGCAGUCUGGGUCACCUGGAACAUCUUCAUCAUCUGCUUUUACUUAGAAGUGGGAGGGCUCUCAAAGGACAGCGAGCUCCUGACAUUCAACAUCUCCCGGCACCAAUCCUGGUGGAGUGAAAAUGGCCCUGGCUGUGUAAGGAAGGAGGCUUCAAUGUCUGGCAUCAAGGGGCUGGAUAACCACUCCUACAUCUCUGUCAUCGGCUGCGCCCUGGAGUACCGCUACAUCGAGGUCAUGCACAGCUCCUUCCAGAUCCUCAUCGCGCUGGUGGGCUUUGUGUACGCCUGUUACGUGGUUAGUGUUUUUACAGAAGAAGAAGACAGCUUUGAUUUCAUUGGUGGAUUUGAUCCAUUUCCUCUCUACCAUGUCAAUGAAAAACCCACCAACCUUUUGUUCAAGCAGACAUACCUGUAGACUUUUUCCCAAACAAACAACAUGAAUUUGCAAACUCUUUUGAUCAUCCUGAAGCUGCAUGUGUAAGAGGCCUGCGUAAGUGAAGAGGAGCCAGAGGAUGGAUAAACCUUGCACUCCACCAAAGGUGCUGCAGGAAACAGUCCCCUGGGGCCUGGAUCUUUGGCAGAGGAAAUGCAGGAUGGUGAACUCCACUCCAUUUUUUGGUUCCUUGUCUUCUUUUCAAACACAAUGAAUGUACAUCAAAGAAUGGCCACACAGUUGGUUUUUAAUCCUCCAAGUGCCCUGACGAACCUUUCCUACCACAGUCUGCUGGUACUGGCCCAGAAAUGGCACAGGCCUAAAGACCUCUGGCAGAACAAGUUCACCAAGAGCCUCUCUCAAGAGCUACAGUUGAAGUCGGAGCUGCUUCCUUGUGCCACGGAUCCAGAAAGAAGGAAGCACUGCAUAACACCCUGGGACACUUCAUAUCUUCUGUAGUUAGUUUCCUCCCCUUUUUCUGAACAGAGCCUAAAUCCCCUAACAAAACUUCACAUCCUCCCUGCCUGUAUAAAAUGAAGUGGGGGCUCUUUACACUUGAGUUACUUAGGCAUUGUUGGGUUCUAAGUAGAGAUGAGAACUUCUCCCUCCUUUGUCCCCACCAGCCAGGACCCCUUGCUCGUUCUCUGUAGACAUGGCAGUAGGCUUUUGUCCUGGAGCUCAGUGUUCUGUGGCCUGACUCCUGUAAUGCUGAACAGCUGAAAACUACUGCAGCCAUCAGCUCUUCACUCAGCAUGCAGCUUCACCCUUCCAACCAGCCCAGCCAUUCUUGGAGCAGCUGUAGCUUACUCUGGGUCUGCCCAGCUACAUUAAAUUAACCCUGGUGUAGCUGAAUCCUGCUGCAGGCCCUGGAAAAGGCCAGUUCCACAUGGAUCAGAGGUGGGUUUGCACCUGCCUUCACCUAGAGCCACACCUAUUCCAUGUAACAGCCUGGUGGAAGAGUCUCGUUUGUGACAGGCUUUUUGUGGGGAGGGAAAGGGCUGAAGGGGUAAUGCAAGUGUAAUUAAGUUGCAUUAAUAAGCUGCAGCAGUUGAUUAAAAGAACAAAACCAAGUCAGCUUUGUUAGCUGUGUCUCCCAGCAUGUUAAGUGUCAAAAGCAGAGGAGGAGCAGUUGUCAGCCAGCCCUGGCAUUUUUGGGUUGAUACUUCAAGUGCUGUUGUAAUUCAUUAUUGUCUUGCCUAAUUUGUUUGGGAUUACUUGGCAUUUAUUUUUUUUUGAGAAAUGCUUUUCAGAAGGGUCAAGCUUGAAGCCAUGCUAGGGAGAAGUGUGAGGGAAGAAUUAAAAACAAAAAUAAAAACAUUAAGUGCUAAAUCAAA